rnacentral:rRNA from 1 species
ACUCCUACGGGAGGCAGCAGUAGGGAAUCUUCCACAAUGGGCGCAAGCCUGAUGGAGCAACACCGCGUGAGUGAAGAAGGGUUUCGGCUCGUAAAGCUCUGUUGUUAAAGAAGAACACGUAUGAGAGUAACUGUUCAUACGUUGACGGUAUUUAACCAGAAAGUCACGGCUAACUACGUGCCAGCAGCCGCGGUAAUACGUAGGUGGCAAGCGUUAUCCGGAUUUAUUGGGCGUAAAGAGAGUGCAGGCGGUUUUCUAAGUCUGAUGUGAAAGCCUUCGGCUUAACCGGAGAAGUGCAUCGGAAACUGGAUAACUUGAGUGCAGAAGAGGGUAGUGGAACUCCAUGUGUAGCGGUGGAAUGCGUAGAUAUAUGGAAGAACACCAGUGGCGAAGGCGGCUACCUGGUCUGCAACUGACGCUGAGACUCGAAAGCAUGGGGUAGCGAACAGGAUUAGAUACCCUGGUAGGAAAGCG